rnacentral:rRNA from 1 species
GACGAACGCUGGCGGCGUGCUUAACACAUGCAAGUCGGACGAUGAACCCGGAGCUUGCUCCGGUGGAUUAGUGGCGAACGGGUGAGUAACACGUGAGUAACCUGCCCUUGACUCUGGGAUAACUGCGGGAAACUGUAGCUAAUACCGGAUACGACCCUCGGCGGCAUCGCCAGGGGGUGGAAAGAAUUUCGGUCAAGGAUGGACUCGCGGCCUAUCAGCUAGUUGGUGAGGUAACGGCUCACCAAGGCGACGACGGGUAGCCGGCCUGAGAGGGUGACCGGCCACACUGGGACUGAGACACGGCCCAGACUCCUACGGGAGGCGGCAGUGGGGAAUAUUGCACAAUGGGCGCAAGCCUGAUGCAGCAACGCCGCGUGAGGGAUGACGGCCUUCGGGUUGUAAACCGCUUUCAGCAGGGAAGAAGCCGCAAGGUGACGGUACCUGCAGAAGAAGCACCGGCUAACUACGUGCCAGCCGCCGCUGUAA